rnacentral:rRNA from 1 species
AGAGUUUGAUCAUGGCUCAGGAUGAACGCUAGCGGCAGGCCUAAUACAUGCAAGUCGUGGGGCAGCAGGGUUGUAGCAAUACAAUCGCUGGCGACCGGCAAACGGGUGCGGAACACGUACGCAACCUUCCUUUAAGUGGAGGAUAGCCCGGGGAAACCCGGAUUAAUACUCCGUAACAUUAUGAAGUGGCAUCAUUUUAUAAUUAUAGCUCCGGCGCUUAAAGAUGGGCGUGCGUCUGAUUAGGUAGUUGGCGGGGUAACGGCCCACCAAGCCUACGAUCAGUAACUGGUGUGAGAGCACGACCAGUCACACGGGCACUGAGACACGGGCCCGACUCCUACGGGAGGCAGCAGUAAGGAAUAUUGGUCAAUGGACGCAAGUCUGAACCAGCCAUGCCGCGUGGAGGAUGAAGGUCCUCUGGAUUGUAAACUUCUUUUAUUUGGGAAGAAACCCACGGUUUCUACUGUGGUUGACGGUACCAGAUGCAUAAGCACCGGCUAACUCCGUGCCAGCAGCCGCGGUAAUACGGAGGGUGCAAGCGUUAUCCGGAUUCACUGGGUUUAAAGGGUGCGUAGGCGGGCAGGUAAGUCAGUGGUGAAAUCUCCGGGCUUAACCCGGAAACUGCCGUUGAUACUAUCUGUCUUGAAUAUCGUGGAGGUGAGCGGAAUAUGUCAUGUAGCGGUGAAAUGCUUAGAUAUGACAUAGAACACCAAUUGCGAAGGCAGCUCGCUACACGGUUAUUGACGCUGAGGCACGAAAGCGUGGGGAUCAAACAGGAUUAGAUACCCUAGUAGUCC